rnacentral:rRNA from 1 species
AAAUUGAAGAGUUUGAUCAUGGCUCAGAUUGAACGCUGGCGGCAGGCCUAACACAUGCAAGUCGAGCGGUAGCACAGAGAGCUUGCUCUCGGGUGACGAGCGGCGGACGGGUGAGUAAUGUCUGGGAAACUGCCUGAUGGAGGGGGAUAACUACUGGAAACGGUAGCUAAUACCGCAUAAUGUCGCAAGACCAAAGUGGGGGACCUUCGGGCCUCAUGCCAUCAGAUGUGCCCAGAUGGGAUUAGCUAGUAGGUGGGGUAAUGGCUCACCUAGGCGACGAUCCCUAGCUGGUCUGAGAGGAUGACCAGCCACACUGGAACUGAGACACGGUCCAGACUCCUACGGGAGGCAGCAGUGGGGAAUAUUGCACAAUGGGCGCAAGCCUGAUGCAGCCAUGCCGCGUGUGUGAAGAAGGCCUUCGGGUUGUAAAGCACUUUCAGCGGGGAGGAAGGCGAUAAGGUUAAUAACCUUGUCGAUUGACGUUACCCGCAGAAGAAGCACCGGCUAACUCCGUGCCAGCAGCCGCGGUAAUACGGAGGGUGCAAGCGUUAAUCGGAAUUACUGGGCGUAAAGCGCACGCAGGCGGUCUGUCAAGUCGGAUGUGAAAUCCCCGGGCUCAACCUGGGAACUGCAUUCGAAACUGGCAGGCUAGAGUCUUGUAGAGGGGGGUAGAAUUCCAGGUGUAGCGGUGAAAUGCGUAGAGAUCUGGAGGAAUACCGGUGGCGAAGGCGGCCCCCUGGACAAAGACUGACGCUCAGGUGCGAAAGCGUGGGGAGCAAACAGGAUUAGAUACCCUGGUAGUCCACGCCGUAAACGAUGUCGAUUUGGAGGUUGUGCCCUUGAGGCGUGGCUUCCGGAGCUAACGCGUUAAAUCGACCGCCUGGGGAGUACGGCCGCAAGGUUAAAACUCAAAUGAAUUGACGGGGGCCCGCACAAGCGGUGGAGCAUGUGGUUUAAUUCGAUGCAACGCGAAGAACCUUACCUGGUCUUGACAUCCACAGAACUUAGCAGAGAUGCUUUGGUGCCUUCGGGAACUGUGAGACAGGUGCUGCAUGGCUGUCGUCAGCUCGUGUUGUGAAAUGUUGGGUUAAGUCCCGCAACGAGCGCAACCCUUAUCCUUUGUUGCCAGCGGUCCGGCCGGGAACUCAAAGGAGACUGCCAGUGAUAAACUGGAGGAAGGUGGGGAUGACGUCAAGUCAUCAUGGCCCUUACGACCAGGGCUACACACGUGCUACAAUGGCAUAUACAAAGAGAAGCGACCUCGCGAGAGCAAGCGGACCUCAUAAAGUAUGUCGUAGUCCGGAUUGGAGUCUGCAACUCGACUCCAUGAAGUCGGAAUCGCUAGUAAUCGUAGAUCAGAAUGCUACGGUGAAUACGUUCCCGGGCCUUGUACACACCGCCCGUCACACCAUGGGAGUGGGUUGCAAAAGAAGUAGGUAGCUUAACCUUCGGGAGGGCGCUUACCACUUUGUGAUUCAUGACUGGGGUGAAGUCGUAACAAGGUAACCGUAGGGGAACCUGCGGUUGGAUCACCUCCUUA